rnacentral:lncRNA from 1 species
AGAGAGGAAAAAAUAGAGAGAAAAGAAAAGAUUGAGUGGAGAGAAAAUUGUGAGUAGAGAGAUAAAAAUAGAGAGAAAAAUUAUUGUUUCUUCCUAAAGUAUUUCCUACUUGGUUUUCCUAUUACAAGAGAGAUUAAUUGUUGUUAUCUCCUUGUAUUUAGAGAGUUGUUGUAAUUCUCCUACUAUAGUAAAAUCCUCCUACACUUGCCCGUGGACGUAGCCAAAAUUGGGUGAACCACGUAAAAACUUGUGUCCAUUUUUAGCUGUAUUUUCUCAAUUUCAUUAUUUGUUAGCCAAAGUCGACCCACGCGUUUUCUCCCUAACAAAAAUAGUCCUAAUAAAUAUCUCGUUUUACCUUUCUAUUAAAUUUAGAAGCUAAUUAUCGUACAACUAAUAAUAUUUCUAUUUUUCUUCUUCAUCCUUUUCCUUUCUACUUAUGUAUCAUUUAUGUUUAUCUAGUGUAGAACAUUCCAGAAUCGUCUACACUAAUGAUACAUGGAAGCCUAUGAUAAUUCGUUGAGAAAGAUGAGCAUGAGAUUUCAAAGUUCCAUAUAGAGUUGGUUGAAAAAAUUAAAGCAUCUGGUAGAUCCCAAUUAUUGAGCAUACAAUUGCAGAUGUACACACACAAAAAUUAAAAUAUCUGGAAAUGCAACUAUCACUUCUUCCCCUUUUUUCUAGGUAUACUUUCACUAAUAGCAGUUACAGCCCUGUAUGGUCUCUAAAACGUCUUCAUUGCUUUGUAUCUCCAUGGUUUUUAUUUCUUUUGCAUGUGCCAUUGGAUUAACAAAGUUUAUGUAUUUCCUCAAUAUGUUUUUCUUUAGAAUAUAAAUGCUUCCGUUGUAUACCUAAAUCAAUUUUGAUUGUUAUAGCGAGAAAUCGUGUUUCACGUUGGGUAGUAUUAAUUUCACUCUUAUGGGGGAAUCUAGAAUUUGUGAAAACGUGAUGGCUUUUGGCAUGUCAAGUUGUGAGCAAAUCUAGAAAUGAAUAAGAUGUUCUACACUAGCUAUUGAUUAAGGCUAUCAGAUUAAAAUUAAUGGCAACUUUGGCCAGACAUAUUUGAAAACUUGUGUUGGACAUCAUUUGGAUAUGCAGCUAAUCAACAGAAGGUGUUUUACAACUUACUUGACAAGCUUUAAACUUUAUCUAUGGGGUGAUUUCUAGUCGUGUUGAAAAAUUAACGAUUGACUAAAUUUUGUGCCUAAAUUUAAUUUUUCAGAGUUUGUUAUAGUCCACAUUAAGGUUGGCACAUAAGAUUGGACUUAAUGCUGUUACUGUUAUUUAUUUAUCUUCAUCAUCAGUGUAGGAGGGAAUGGUUAUAUAAGAUAUCAUUUCUUUAUUGAUCUCAUUGUUGUUUUUUCUAAUGCUCAUACAGAUGCAAUUAAAAAGAAAGUCGAAGCACGUGUCACUUGCUAUUUUUCCAAGCUCAAGCAAUGGAAGCCCAUCUCGUCGUGGGCAAUGACAAUACUCUAAUCAAUUACACAUUACUAUCUUAACACCUUCUACAGCUCAAUUUGAUAUAAACAGCUUAAUUCAAUCAAGUGUUAAAGUUACAAUUCAUCUUUUUG